CUGUAUAUUUUAUUUUAAAAACUUAAAAACAUUUUUCUGAAAAGAGAUCCAUAGGCUUUACUAAAAAUACUGCCAAAGGAGUCCAUGGAACAGAAGAGUUAAGAACUCCUGACACAGAACUAUUAAAAAUGUCCACAGUCACUAUGGACACCGUGAUUACAACCAUGCACACAAAUGAACAGAGAUUUCAAUGAAGAACAUCAUGUUUAGGAUCAGAAGUAGCCAACUUACUCCCACAGUGAACCAAAGGCACCAUGUACUACCCUCUGUUUCCCUGUCUUUGCAACUAGCCAUGAACAGGUCACAAAAAGGUGUACAGCUGCAACAGAGGAAUCAUUCUGCCCUCAAGGAAGUGGCUCUGAAGCAGUGUGAGAUCUGGAGUGGAGCAUGACAACCCAGCAGUCUCAAGAUGAAGUGUCAAGUCAGCAGACAAAGCUGGCUGCAAAAGCAAAGCAGACUCUCACAGGAAAAGGACUGCCUGCAGCCCUCUGGCAGCAUGCUGGGACUCACAGGCAGGACACAAUCAAAGCUCUGCUUCUGCAAAUGGUUACAUGUGAAGGACUAUCCCUUUCACCAUCAACCUCAGAGAAGACCCAAACUACAAGGCUCUGGAAGAUCCAAUGAACGUUUGUGGAGUCACUCUAAAUGGGAUGCCUUUGUCCCUCGUGUCUUACCUUGAUCACAAUAUAAGUGACAAUGCCUGA